CUGACCGAUAGUGAACCAGUACCGUGAGGGAAAGGCGAAAAGAACCCCGGCGAGGGGAGUGAAAAAGAACCUGAAACCGUGUACGUACAAGCAGUGGGAGCACAGGUUUACCUGUGUGACUGCGUACCUUUUGUAUAAUGGGUCAGCGACUUAUAUUCUGUAGCAAGGUUAACCGAAUAGGGGAGCCGGAGGGAAACCGAGUCUUAAUUGGGCGUUAAGUUGCAGGGUAUAGACCCGAAACCCGGUGAUCUAGCCAUGGGCAGGUUGAAGGUUGGGUAACACUAACUGGAGGACCGAACCGACUAAUGUUGAAAAAUUAGCGGAUGACCUGUGGCUGGGGGUGAAAGGCCAAUCAAACCGGGAGAUAGCUGGUUCUCCCCGAAAGCUAUUUAGGUAGCGCCUCGUGAAUUCAUCUCCGGGGGUAGAGCACUGUUUCGGCUAGGGGGCCAUCCCGGCUUACCAACCCGAUGCAAACUGCGAAUACCGGAGAAUGUUAUCACGGGAGACACACGGCGGGUGCUAACGUCCGUCGUGAAGAGGGAAACAACCCAGACCGCCAGCUAAGGUCCCAAAGUCAUGGUUAAGUGGGAAACGAUGUGGGAAGGCCCAGACAGCCAGGAUGUUGGCUUAGAAGCAGCCAUCAUUUAAAGAAAGCGUAAUAGCUCACUGGUCGAGUCGGCCUGCGCGGAAGAUGUAACGGGGCUAAACCAU
rnacentral:rRNA from 1 species